UAGAGUUCUCGAAGAUAUUAGCUGAUUUUAGCUACUGAAAAUUCGAGAGGAAAUAAAGUAUAUGUAUAUGUAAUGUAACUCGGAAGAUAUGCAUCCAGCGGACUGUGGGAGUUGUGAAUGCAAGACAACUUUGGCCUGAGUUCCAGUCGUGCAACAACAAAGUCCUAAGGUGGUGGAGGAACUACUUCUGCUUCGCCUUUCUGGGUUUGGGACGAAUGUUUUGCCGACAUCCAUAACAUCUGUAGACCCUCGAGUUCCGGCUUCAAGGAUUUUGGGAGAUUUUCCGUCAUUCCGUCUUUUAGGAUUUCGGGUGAAUUUUCGCCGUUCCGCCGUUUCGUCACGAUUCCUUGAUUCCUCCGUUCCGUCAAUCCAGCUUUUAGGGUCGCCAAUGGUUUCUCGCUAUUGAAAGUCAUCAAUCAUAUUAGAACUGUUUAUAUUAUACGAACUUUGAAGCGCAUGCUCUGCUUUCGAGUUCCCUAGACAACGGAACAACAGACAUCAUUCAAAUUUGCAUACAGACAAUCUUCGUUCGAACAACUUAUACACCUCGACUACUUCACUCUGGUUACUUUUUUGUUGGUGUUUGGUGGCGAGGAGACAAAGAACCGAAGGAACAUAGACAAAAUGUUGGAGAGCCUACUACGCUUCCUUAGGUCGCGGACCGUGCCAGAGUUCAUUAUGGGAGUCGUAUGGACGAUCAUCAUCGUACACCUGUUCAUGGCCGUCUUCGAAUUCGUGUUCUGGCGGGUGUCACUUAUAAACCCAGGUGCCCUGAUAGGACUUGGUGUGGCUGGAUGCAUUGGCGCGCUUGGUUCUGCCUUGGGCAUUGGAAUAGGACCACUGGUAUUGCUGUAUGUUUGCUGGGAGGUUGUAUUGGCAGCAGGAUAUACAGGUUCGCAGAUGGGCCCAGGUAUCAACAG